GGGCCCGCACAAGCGGUGGAGUAUGUGGUUUAAUUCGAUGCAACGCGAAGAACCUUACCAGGGUUUGACAUCCUGCGAAUCUCUUGGAAACAGGAGAGUGCCUUCGGGAACGCAGUGACAGGUGGUGCAUGGCUGUCGUCAGCUCGUGUCGUGAGAUGUUGGGUUAAGUCCCGCAACGAGCGCAACCCACGUCUUUAGUUGCCAGCAUUUAGUUGGGCACUCUAGAGAGACUGCCGGUGAUAAACCGGAGGAAGGUGUGGAUGACGUCAAGUCAUCAUGCCCCUUACAUCCUGGGCUACACACGUGCUACAAUGGUCGGUACAGAGGGAAGCUACCCCGCAAGGGGGAUGCGGAUCUAUAAAACCGAUCUCAGUUCGGAUCGGGGUCUGCAACUCGACCCCGUGAAGCUGGAAUCGCUAGUAAUCGGAUAUC
rnacentral:rRNA from 1 species